rnacentral:rRNA from 1 species
GGAAGUAAAAGUCGUAACAAGGUUUCCGUAGGUGAACCUGCGGAAGGAUCAUUGUCGAAACCUGCCUAGCAGAACGACCCGAGAACUAGUUUCAAAGCGGGGGGGCGAGGGGCCCUGCGGCUCCUUGUCCCCUUUUAUCCCGGGGGGUUGCGCUGCGCUCGCGUGGCCGACCCUUCCGGGCGUACAAACGAACACCGGCGCGAAUUGCGCCAAGGAAAUUGAACGAGAGAGCGCGUCCCCGUCGCCCCGAAAACGGUGUGCGCGGGCGGCGUCGUCAUCUUCAAAUAUGUCAAAACGACUCUCGGCAACGGAUAUCUCGGCUCUCGCAUCGAUGAAGAACGUAGCGAAAUGCGAUACUUGGUGUGAAUUGCAGAAUCCCGUGAACCAUCGAGUCUUUGAACGCAAGUUGCGCCCGAAGCCACUAGGCCGAGGGCACGCCUGCCUGGGCGUCACACGACGUUGCCCCCCCCAUCUACUCCUUCGGGAUUUGCGGGGGGCGGAUGAUGGCCUCCCGUGCGCCUCGCCGCGCGGUUGGCAUGAAUACCAAGUCCUCGGCGACGCACGCCACGACAAUCGGUGGUUGCGAAACCUCGGUUGCCCGUCGUGUGCGUUCGUCGCGCAUCGAGGGCUCGAAAAAAUGCCCGGCUCCGGCUCGGCUUUCAACGCGACCCCAGGUCAGGCGGGGUUACCCGCUGAAUUUAAGCAUAUCAAUAAGCGGAGGA